CACGUAGGGUCCGAGCGUUGUCCGGAAUUACUGGGCGUAAAGAGCUCGUAGGUGGUUUGUCGCGUUGUUCGUGAAAACUCACAGCUUAACUGUGGGCGUGCGGGCGAUACGGGCAGACUGGAGUACUGCAGGGGAGACUGGAAUUCCUGGUGUAGCGGUGAAAUGCGCAGAUAUCAGGAGGAACACCGGUGGCGAAGGCGGGUCUCUGGGCCGAUACUGACGCUGAGGAGCGAAAGCGUGGGGAGCGAACAGG
rnacentral:rRNA from 1 species